rnacentral:rRNA from 1 species
ACUCCUACGGGAGGCAGCAGUGGGGAAUAUUGCACAAUGGGCGCAAGCCUGAUGCAGCCAUGCCGCGUGUGUGAAGAAGGCCUCGGUUGUAAAGCACUUUCUAGCGAGGAGGAAGGGUUCGAGUGUUAAUAGCACUGUUCAUUGACGUUACUCGCAGAAGAAGCACCGGCUAACUCCGUGCCAGCAGCCGCGGUAAUACGGAGGGUGCAAGCGUUAAUCGGAAUUACUGGGCGUAAAGCGCACGCAGGCGGUUUGUUAAGUCAGAUGUGAAAUCCCGCGCUUAACGUGGGAACUGCAUUUGAAACUGGCAAGCUAGAGUCUUGUAGAGGGGGGUAGAAUUCCAGGUGUAGCGGUGAAAUGCGUAGAGAUCUGGAGGAAUACCGGUGGCGAAGGCGGCCCCCU